GUCUUGGUGGCUCAGAUGGUAUGAGCACUGUACUAUGGAUCCAGUGGUCGUGGGUUCAAGUGCCACCCAAGACA